rnacentral:rRNA from 1 species
GAUGAACGCUGGCGGCGUGCCUAAUACAUGUAAGUCGAGCGAACGGACGAGAAGCUUGCUUCUCUGAUGUUAGCGGCGGACGGGUGAGUAACACGUGGAUAACCUACCUAUAAGACUGGGAUAACUUCGGGAAACCGGAGCUAAUACCGGAUAAUAUUUUGAACCGCAUGGUCCAAAAGUGAAAGACGGUCUUGCUGUCACUUAUAGAUGGAUCCGCGCUGCAUUAGCUAGUUGGUAAGGUAACGGCUUACCAAGGCAACGAUGCAUAGCCGACCUGAGAGGGUGAUCGGCCACACUGGAACUGAGACACGGUCCAGACUCCUACGGGAGGCAGCAGUAGGGAAUCUUCCGCAAUGGGCGAAGGCCUGACGGAGCAACGCCGCGUGAGUGAUGAAGGUCUUCGGAUCGUAAAACUCUGUUAUUAGGGAAGAACAUAUGUGUAAGUAACUGUGCACAUCUUGACGGUACCUAAUCAGAAAGCCGCGGCUAACUACGUG